ensembl:lncRNA AHSA2P activator of HSP90 ATPase homolog 2, pseudogene
AAUUUACAACGGGAAUGAUUUUACCAACGAAAGCUAUGGCAACCCAGGAAUUGACUGUCAAAAGAAAACUGAGUGGGAAUACCCUGCAGGUUCAGGCCUCAUCUCCAGUGGCACUGGGUGUAAGGAUUCCCACUGUGGCUCUUCACAUGAUGGAACUGUUUGACACAACUGUAGAGCAGCUGUAUAGCAUCUUCACUGUAAAGGAGGAAGAGAGAGUUUGUGUUUUAUUUUCUUUAACAAAUAAGAAGAUCAUCAUGAAAUGGAGAUGUGGGAACUGGCCAGAAGAACACUAUGCCAUGGUUGCACUGAAUUUUGUGCCUACUCUAGGGCAAACAGAAUUACAAUUGAAGGAGUUCCUAUCUAUCUGUAAAGAAGAGAACAUGAAAUUCUGUUGGCAGAAGCAGCAUUUUGAAGAAAUAAAAGGUUCACUGCAGCUGACCCCCCUAAAUGGUUGAAUUAAAAUUUAUUAUAAGGCAUUA